CCUUGUCUUCUUGAGGCCUUCUGAAGAAUGUUUCCAAGCACUAUGGAGUCUCAAAGAAAGUAGCAGCAGGAAGCUCAGGUUCCAUUUCUCAUUCUUUAAUGAAGCUGUCUUGCUAGCAGACUUUAUAUGACAACAUCCUGGUAUUCACUGUAAUGCUGGGGAAGUAGCAGCAUCCCUUGGUCUUCAAGAAACCAGCAUCUACUGAAGAGGACAGGGAUGGAGAUGCUGCCAAAAGAGCCACAAAUGCAUGAUGCAAACUGUAUCCUCUUGCUGGGCUUUGGGAACUGCUCAGCUUUCAGCUGGUUUCGUGCAACUCAGGCUGUUCCUGGUUAAGAGAAAACUGGAGGAGUGACAUUUUGCCCAAGGGUUCUUCCUGGGAAGAUGAAGAAGCACUGGGUAGAAAGCAGCAAGACAUACCUGGAUUUGCAGACUGAAAAUGACUUGCCACAAUAACUAGUGCUGCAGACCCUAAAAGAGAGAUUCAGAUAUCUGGAAAGGAGAAAUUCAGUGCAAAGAAAUCUCCUUCCCGGGUCCUUCUCCCAUCCAGAGGGUACUAAAAGCUCAGUGGGUGACCUCCAGGGGUUAACUAUCGGUUCUGGCUUCACCAGGAGCUACUUGAGAUGGUUCAGAGUCAACAGACAUUACCCCCUUUGCCAGGGUCACCAGUUUCUGGGUGAGUUGCUGCUCAUAGACCAAUUUCUCCAGGUGGCAAGUGGGAAUUUGGGCUGCUGCAAUGCAAGCUGGAAGAUAUAAAAGAAAAAAAAAAAAAAACCAAACAAAAAACAGGUGUAAAUAAUAUGUAAGUUUAAUGGGCUAAAAGAUCAGGAAUUGUGUUUCACUGAAACAAAAUUUCAUUGGUUGCUUCUCUGUAUCUAUCCAUGCUACCACUUCCCAGUAUCUGUGUUUUCCUGUACCCACUGUGUUGCUACAGUGGUUCCAUUUUGCCCUGAUAUCCACAAGCAGUUGAAUUUCAAAGGUGGUUCCCAUGGAUGCUCCUGCAGGCAGGGAGGAGACCAGAGAUGUGAGAAUGUCACAAAAGCAUCAGAGAAGCAAAACGUCUCCUUUGGCUGUGUUUGCCUUUGUGCCAGCCCAUGAUCUGUUUCUUCCAGUGGUCAAGCCCUGUUGGAUUGAACAAAAGUUGCUCCAGCCCUGGGAUCAGAGUCCCAUAGUGCUAUGGAAAAAGCCUGGCGAUUGGGAGCUUUCUGCAGUGAGGGCAGGCAGGGUGAUGAUGUCCGUGGCUUCAUCUAGGGCUCCUUUUUCUUUGCAGAGAAGUCUUGCUUACUCUGCCAGCUUGCAGCACUGAUAAGAACGUAUUUACUGGCUUAACUACUGAGAUCUCUCCAAUGAAUUUCAUCUCCAGGGCAUUGCUGUCUCUUAUGUUUUCUGUGUCUUAGGUGCUCAAUAAAUGUUUGCUAAAGUAA